rnacentral:ribozyme from 1 species
AGCAAUACUGCACUGGUAAGGUAUGGAUCCGAAGCAUCUUGAAGGUCAACAAAGGCUCUCCAAAUAUCUGAGCUUGGGUAUACGGGGAAACAUAACCCCUUGGGAAGAUGGGUGAUAUGGCUAAAAGCGUCUGU